CACGUAGGGUGCAAGCGUUGUCCGGAAUCAUUGGGCGUAAAGAGCUCGUAGGCGGCUUAGUAAGUCGGGUGUGAAAACCCCAGGCUCAACCUGGGGACGCCACCCGAUACUGCUAUAGCUAGAGUCCAGUAGGGGAGUGUGGAAUUCCCAGUGUAGCGGUGAAAUGCGCAGAUAUUGGGAGGAACACCAGCGGCGAAGGUGGCACUCUGGGCUGGUACUGACGCUGAGGAGCGAAAGCGUGGGUAGCGAACAGG
rnacentral:rRNA from 1 species